ACUAAGCGUACACGGUGGAUGCCCUGGCAGUCAGAGGCGAUGAAGGACGUGCUAAUCUGCGAUAAGCGUCGGUAAGGUGAUAUGAACCGUUAUAACCGGCGAUUUCCGAAUGGGGAAACCCAGUGUGUUUCGACACACUAUCAUUAACUGAAUCCAUAGGUUAAUGAGGCGAACCGGGGGAACUGAAACAUCUAAGUACCCCGAGGAAAAGAAAUCAACCGAGAUUCCCCCAGUAGCGGCGAGCGAACGGGGAGCAGCCCAGAGCCUGAAUCAGUGUGUGUGUUAGUGGAAGCGUCUGGAAAGGCGCGCGAUACAGGGUGACAGCCCCGUACACAAAAAUGCACAUGCUGUGAGCUCGAUGAGUAGGGCGGGACACGUGGUAUCCUGUCUGAAUAUGGGGGGACCAUCCUCCAAGGCUAAAUACUCCUGACUGACCGAUAGUGAACCAGUACCGUGAGGGAAAGGCGAAAAGAACCCCGGCGAGGGGAGUGAAAAAGAACCUGAAACCGUGUACGUACAAGCAGUGGGAGCACGCUUAGGCGUGUGACUGCGUACCUUUUGUAUAAUGGGUCAGCGACUUAUAUUCUGUAGCAAGGUUAACCGAAUAGGGGAGCCGAAGGGAAACCGAGUCUUAACUGGGCGUUAAGUUGCAGGGUAUAGACCCGAAACCCGGUGAUCUAGCCAUGGGCAGGUUGAAGGUUGGGUAACACUAACUGGAGGACCGAACCGACUAAUGUUGAAAAAUUAGCGGAUGACUUGUGGCUGGGGGUGAAAGGCCAAUCAAACCGGGAGAUAGCUGGUUCUCCCCGAAAGCUAUUUAGGUAGCGCCUCGUGAAUUCAUCUCCGGGGGUAGAGCACUGUUUCGGCAAGGGGGUCAUCCCGACUUACCAACCCGAUGCAAACUGCGAAUACCGGAGAAUGUUAUCACGGGAGACACACGGCGGGUGCUAACGUCCGUCGUGAAGAGGGAAACAACCCAGACCGCCAGCUAAGGUCCCAAAGUCAUGGUUAAGUGGGAAACGAUGUGGGAAGGCCCAGACAGCCAGGAUGUUGGCUUAGAAGCAGCCAUCAUUUAAAGAAAGCGUAAUAGCUCACUGGUCGAGUCGGCCUGCGCGGAAGAUGUAACGGGGCUAAACCAUGCACCGAAGCUGCGGCAGCGACGCUUAUGCGUUGUUGGGUAGGGGAGCGUUCUGUAAGCCUGUGAAGGUGUACUGUGAGGUAUGCUGGAGGUAUCAGAAGUGCGAAUGCUGACAUAAGUAACGAUAAAGCGGGUGAAAAGCCCGCUCGCCGGAAGACCAAGGGUUCCUGUCCAACGUUAAUCGGGGCAGGGUGAGUCGACCCCUAAGGCGAGGCCGAAAGGCGUAGUCGAUGGGAAACAGGUUAAUAUUCCUGUACUUGGUGUUACUGCGAAGGGGGGACGGAGAAGGCUAUGUUGGCCGGGCGACGGUUGUCCCGGUUUAAGCGUGUAGGCUGGUUUUCCAGGCAAAUCCGGAAAAUCAAGGCUGAGGCGUGAUGACGAGGCACUACGGUGCUGAAGCAACAAAUGCCCUGCUUCCAGGAAAAGCCUCUAAGCAUCAGGUAACAUCAAAUCGUACCCCAAACCGACACAGGUGGUCAGGUAGAGAAUACCAAGGCGCUUGAGAGAACUCGGGUGAAGGAACUAGGCAAAAUGGUGCCGUAACUUCGGGAGAAGGCACGCUGAUAUGUAGGUGAAGUCCCUCGCGGAUGGAGCUGAAAUCAGUCGAAGAUACCAGCUGGCUGCAACUGUUUAUUAAAAACACAGCACUGUGCAAACACGAAAGUGGACGUAUACGGUGUGACGCCUGCCCGGUGCCGGAAGGUUAAUUGAUGGGGUUAGCCGCAAGGCGAAGCUCUUGAUCGAAGCCCCGGUAAACGGCGGCCGUAACUAUAACGGUCCUAAGGUAGCGAAAUUCCUUGUCGGGUAAGUUCCGACCUGCACGAAUGGCGUAAUGAUGGCCAGGCUGUCUCCACCCGAGACUCAGUGAAAUUGAACUCGCUGUGAAGAUGCAGUGUACCCGCGGCAAGACGGAAAGACCCCGUGAACCUUUACUAUAGCUUGACACUGAACAUUGAGCCUUGAUGUGUAGGAUAGGUGGGAGGCUUGGAAGUGUGGACGCCAGUCUGCAUGGAGCCGACCUUGAAAUACCACCCUUUAAUGUUUGAUGUUCUAACGUUGACCCGUAAUCCGGGUUGCGGACAGUGUCUGGUGGGUAGUUUGACUGGGGCGGUCUCCUCCUAAAGAGUAACGGAGGAGCACGAAGGUUGGCUAAUCCUGGUCGGACAUCAGGAGGUUAGUGCAAUGGCAUAAGCCAGCUUGACUGCGAGCGUGACGGCGCGAGCAGGUGCGAAAGCAGGUCAUAGUGAUCCGGUGGUUCUGAAUGGAAGGGCCAUCGCUCAACGGAUAAAAGGUACUCCGGGGAUAACAGGCUGAUACCGCCCAAGAGUUCAUAUCGACGGCGGUGUUUGGCACCUCGAUGUCGGCUCAUCACAUCCUGGGGCUGAAGUAGGUCCCAAGGGUAUGGCUGUUCGCCAUUUAAAGUGGUACGCGAGCUGGGUUUAGAACGUCGUGAGACAGUUCGGUCCCUAUCUGCCGUGGGCGCUGGAGAACUGAGGGGGGCUGCUCCUAGUACGAGAGGACCGGAGUGGACGCAUCACUGGUGUUCGGGUUGUCAUGCCAAUGGCACUGCCCGGUAGCUAAAUGCGGAAGAGAUAAGUGCUGAAAGCAUCUAAGCACGAAACUUGCCCCGAGAUGAGUUCUCCCUGACCCUUUAAGGGUCCUGAAGGAACGUUGAAGACGACGACGUUGAUAGGCCGGGUGUGUAAGCGCAGCGAUGCGUUGAGCUAACCGGUACUAAUGAACCGUGAGGCUUAACC
rnacentral:rRNA from 1 species